GAACGCGGCAGCCGGGGAAGGGUAAGAACCUUCGAGAAAGGUUCGGCUCGAGCGAAAGCGAGAGAGCGUUGCCACAGGCAACGACCCGAAGGGUGAGGAGCGAAGCGACGAAUAAUCCUUCCCCCACCACCA
rnacentral:sRNA from 1 species